UGGAAAUUGAUUCCAAAUAUAAUUCAUUUUCUGAUAAUGAUGCAAUAGAUGCAUAAUCAUUACUUAAAGAUGAAUCAGAAAAACCUUCAUCCAUGUCAAUAUUGUUUGAUUCAUAAGACUUCAAAAUAAAUGUUUCUUUAUAAACACCAGCCAUAUUUAUGGUUCUUUGUCUAGUUUCAAACUGAUUUUUUUGGGAAUAAAUAAUGAAUUUAU
rnacentral:sRNA from 1 species